CGGGAUACUUCAGGCUGUACCGCAUGUGAUAGCGCUGUUUAUAGUGCCAAUUCAUUUCACAACCCAUAUAGGUCUUUUGUUCAUGGAAGCGAUAUGGACAGCGAACAUCCAUGACUGCAUCCACGGCAACAUCUGGCCUGUAAUGGGUGCAGGAUACCAUACGAUACACCACACAACAUACAAGCAUAACUAUGGUCAUUAUACCAUAUGGAUGGAUUGGAUGUUCGGCUCCCUUAAGGAUCCUCUUUUAGAAGAAGAUGGCAACAAAGAUAGCUCCAAGAAAGCUGAGUGAGAAUGCCCACUUGUUUUUUUUUUUUAUAUUGCCGUCUUUUGUUCUGCUUGCUUGUUGUGGUCCUUUCUUGUUCGUUUUCUUCUUCAUGUGUCUCUCACAACCUUUCCAAUUAGUUUGUUACAAACAUUUGCUGUGUAGUUUAAAACAUGUAAAUGUUUGAUUUUUGCAAGACUCCAUUUUUGUUAAGGUAAACCUUGAAACAAAGAUUUUGACUUUUCUGUCAAUCUUGCGCCACCAGUUGUGUGGAUUUGUGGGGGCAUUGCGAAUAAUAUAUCUUCGUCAAAUAUCAAAAUUCGGCCUGGCCCAAUAUAUAGCUGGGCCAGUAGACCCGCUAUUGAUGAGUAACUUGUCCUUUUCUUGUUGAACAAGUCAACAAGCAAAACACACUCUCUCCAUUUGCCGGUAUGUCAAGCUAUGUUCUCAAUCUAACUUCAAGAAUGUUGUAUCAAUAGUGACUUCUUUACUUAAAACGUUUUUUCGGUUUUCCAGGGCUCACAUUCCAUCCGCUGGGCGGGAUACUUCAGGCUGUACCGCAUAUGAUAGAGCUGUGUAUAGUGCUGAUUCAUCUCAUAACACAUCUGAGUCUUUAGUUUUUUGGAAGGGAUAUGGACAGCAAGCAUCCGUGGUAAAAUUUGGCCUAUAAUGGUGCAGGAUACCAUACACCAUACGACAUACAAGCAUAACUAUGGUCAUUAUACCAUAUGGAUGGAUUGGAUGUUUGGCUCCCUUAGGGCUCUUUUAGCAGAAGAAGAAAGAACAGUGAGAAUAUUCCAUGCUCACAUUGUUCUCCUGACUCUUAACAUUUUCUAAUCACUUUGUUAUUCCAUGCUCACAUUGUUCUCCUGACUCUUAACCUUUUCUAAUCACUUUGUUGGAAUUAAGUAAAAAAGCAAAUCAUUUUAAUACUGUAAGUUUGUUUUAUCUGAAAAGGUUGUAGCUAUAAAUCACUCUCUCUACCACAACCAUUUUCAGUAACGCUUAAGCACAGUUUAACUUUUCUCGGCGGUUUCAUGGCGGCGACUAGUGCAGAUUAUAAUCAGUUCGUCAAUGAGACCUCUUUUUACAACCGUAUGGUUCUGAGUCACCUUUUGCCGGCGAGUCUAUGGGAACCUUUACCACAUUUCCUUCAGACAUGGCUCAGGAACUACCUCGCCGUAAACAUACUCUAAUUCACCUCCGGCUUCCUCUGGUGCUUCUACAUCUAUUACCUUAAACCCAACGUUUACGUCCCCAAAGGUGCUUUUCUUGUUUUUCUUUCAAUUUACGAUAUUCUGUUUUUUAAAAGCACGUAAAUUUAGUUAUUUCUCAACUUUGAAUCUAUUCUAACGAUUUGGCUAAUUUACAUUUUUAAGUUGAAUUUUUGAUCUCUGGAUGAGGUUUGAACUCAAAAUGUACGUUGAAAUUGAAAAAUUGUGCUUUCAAGUUCUGUUUCUUGUGGGGUUUCUUCUAUUUUGUGUUCAGAUUCUAUCCCUACAAGAAAGGCAAUGAUUCUGCAAAUAUCUGUGGCAAUGAAGGCUAUGCCUUAGCACAGUCUUCUUCCAGCUGUAUCUGAGUAUAUGAUCGAGCAUGGUUGGACCCAAUGUUACUCUACAAUUGACCAUUUCAACUGGUUCCACUGUAUCCUCUACAUAACUCUCUAUCUUGCUUUAGUUGAGUUUGGGGUUUAUUGGAUUCACAAAGAGCUUCAUGACAAUAAAUUUCUCUAUAAGCAUCUCCAUGCGACCCGUCACAUCUACAACAAGCAAAACACAAUCUCUCCAUUUGCUGGUAUGUCAAGUUAUGUUCUCAAUCUAUAUUUAAGAUUAUGCUGAGUAUCAAUAGUGACUUGUUUACUUAAAACGUUUUUUCGGUUUUCCAGGGUUCGCAUUCCAUCCGUUGGACGGGAUAAUUCAGUCUUUACCGCAUGUGAUAGCGCUGUUUAUAGUGCCGAUUCAUCUCAUAACACAUCUGUGCCUUUUGUCUUCGGAAGGGAUAUGGACAGCAAACAUCCAUGACUGCAUCCACGGCAACAUCUGGCCAGUAAUGGGUGCAGGAUACCAUACGAUACACCACACCACAUACAAGCAUAACUAUGGCCACAAAACCAUAUUGAUGGAUUGGAUGUUUGGCUCUCUUAAGGCUUCUUUAGCAGAAGAAGACAGUUUCAAGGAGAAAGCAAAGUGAGAAUGUUCAAUGCUCAGUUGCUCACAUCACAUGUCUCUUCUUCAUAUGUUGUUCUUCUCGUGACUCAUCUUAAACCUUUGUAAUCACCUUGUUGGAAAUAAAUAAAUAUAUGUUGGAAUCACUCUUAAACCUCUUUCUUGUUCAACAAGUCACCUGGGUGUGAUCAUAUCGCAUACUUGAGAGUUGAGGCUAAUGAUAGUAAAACGCAAUUUAACCCGCUUAAAGUUUAAUCGUAUUCAAAGGAUUGGCCACAUAGACUUGAAAUAAUCCAUCACAAACCCUCCAUACCAAAAAUUCCUUAAAAAAUAGCAAAUCAUUUAAAUAUUGUAAGUUUGCUUCAUUUAAAUAUUGUAAGUUUGCUUCAUUCGAAAUUUUAGCUACAGAUCUCAAAGCUCCUCCUGUUGGCUAUCUCUCUCUCUCUCUCUCUCUCUAUAAGCACAGUUUGACUUUUCUCGGCGGUUUCAUGCAUGGCGGCGACUAGUGCAGAUUAUAAUCAGUUCGUCAGUGAGACCUCUUUUUACAACCGAAUGGUUCUGAGUCACCUUUUGCCGGCGAAUCUAUGGGAACCUUUACCACAUUUCCUUCAGACAUGGCUCCGGAACUACCUCGCCGGAAACAUACUCUACUUCAUCUCCGGCUUUCUUUGGUGCUUCUACAUCUAUUACCUUAAACUCAACGUUUACGUCCCAAAAGGUUACUUUUUUCAAUUUCGAUGUUCUGUUUUUAAGCCUUCUUUUGUUUAUUCCUUCGAUUGUAUCGCCUGGUGGUUUCUGUUAUACGUUUCAAUUUGACGAACGUUACCCUCUCUUAUUUUUUUCCCUUACAGUUACUUUCAGUUCUUGUCUUCUACUUCUCAUUUAAUUAGUCUUGAAGUUUAAUAAUCCAAGCAAGUAAAUUUAGUUAUUUCUUAACUUUGAAUCUAACUUACAUUUUUUUAAGUUGAAUUUUCGAUAUCUCGAUAAAAGUUGAGCUCAAAUCUGAUUAUGUUAGAUACUUCAUGAAUCAUGAGGUACUGAACAUUUUAAUGAAAGAUUGUUGUGCUCAAUUGUGGUUAGUAGAAGUUUUAACCCAUAGGAACAUAAGUGUUUUAUUCAUGUUAAGCUAAUAUUCAGUACCUUGAAAUUGAAUAAUUGGGGUUCUUAGUUCUGAUUCUGGUGGGAUUUCAUCUAUUUUGUGUUCAGAUUCCAUUCCUACAAGAAAGGCUAUGCUUUUGCAAAUAUACAUGGCAAUGAAGGCUAUGCCUUGGUACACUCUUCUUCCAGCUGUCUCUGAGUACAUGAUCGAGCAUGGUUGGACCAAAUGUUACUCUACACUUGACCAUUUCAACUGGUUCGUCUGUUUGCUCUACAUAGCUCUCUAUCUUGUUUUGGUUGAGUUUAUGAUUUAUUGGGUUCACAAAGAGCUUCAUGACUUUAAUUUUCUCUAUAAGCAUCUCCAUGCGACCCACCAUAUGUACAACAAACAAAACACACUCUCCCCAUUUGCCGGUAUGUCAAGUUAUGUUCUCAAUCUAAAUUCAAGAAUGUUGUAUCAAUGCUGACUCCUUCACUUAACGUAUUUCGGCUUUUCUAGGGCUCGCAUUUCACCCGUUGGACGGGAUACUUCAGGCUGUACCGCACGUGAUAGCGCCAGUGCCGGUCCAAACAUUUUAAGUGCCCUAAGCGAAAAAAAUAAAAAAUUAUUUUUGAUUUAAGUGUUCUAAGCGAAAAAUAUAUUUUCGAGUUUGACUAUUAAUUAUGAGAUAUUAGCAGUAUAAAUAAACCACUAAGCUACAUAUUUAAUCACUAUAAACUUAAUUUAGAUGAUAUGUAUUAGUGUUUUCCUGGAUUAUACAAAUAAUUAUAACGAUUUAUAUUGAAGCUACCAUUGUUUACACACUAGAUAAAUUAAUUCAUACACAUAUUUAAACAAAAAUAAAUGAUGGACCUAUAUGACCACUUUUAUAUAUGCAUGACUGAAACUCAAAAACAGAAAAUGACAAAAACAUUUACAUUUUUUUUUUUUUUUUUUUGGACAAAUUACAUUAAAAAGUAAUAAACAAGAACAGAUAAUGAGAUGAAAGACCUAUAUUAAUAUAAUGUAAUCAAGUCACGUGUGAACAUUUUCUAAUAUUCAAGCCAGGGCCGUAAGCGGUCGCUUAUGUUGCGUACCCUCAAGGCCGGCACUGGAUAGCGCUGUUUAUAGUGCCGAUUCAUCAUAUAACACAUUUGAGUCUUUUGUUUUUUGAAGGGAUAUGGACAGCAAGCAUCCAUGAUUGCAUCCAUGGUAACAUUUGGCCUAUAAUGGGAGCAGGAUACCAUACCAUACACCAUACGACAUACAAGCAUAACU
rnacentral:lncRNA from 1 species